CACUAUCGUUAACUGAAUACAUAGGUUAACGAGGCGAACCGGGGGAACUGAAACAUCUAAGUACCCCGAGGAAAAGAAAUCAACCGAGAUUCCCCCAGUAGCGGCGAGCGAACGGGGAGCAGCCCAGAGUCUGAAUCAGCUUGUGUGUUAGUGGAACGGUCUGGAAAGUCCGACGGUACAGGGUGAUAGUCCCGUACACCAAAAUGCACAGGUUGUGAACUCGAAGAGUAGGGCGGGACACGUGGUAUCCUGUCUGAAUAUGGGGGGACCAUCCUCCAAGGCUAAAUACUCCUGACUGACCGAUAGUGAACCAGUACCGUGAGGGAAAGGCGAAAAGAACCCCGGCGAGGGGAGUGAAAAAGAACCUGAAACCGUGUACGUACAAGCAGUGGGAGCACCUUCGGGUGUGACUGCGUACCUUUUGUAUAAUGGGUCAGCGACUUAUAUUCUGUAGCAAGGUUAACCGUAUAGGGGAGCCGCAGGGAAACCGAGUCUUAACUGGGCGUUAAGUUGCAGGGUAUAGACCCGAAACCCGGUGAUCUAGCCAUGGGCAGGUUGAAGGUUGGGUAACACUAACUGGAGGACCGAACCGACUAAUGUUGAAAAAUUAGCGGAUGACUUGUGGCUGGGGGUGAAAGGCCAAUCAAACCGGGAGAUAGCUGGUUCUCCCCGAAAGCUAUUUAGGUAGCGCCUCGUGAAUUCAUCUUCGGGGGUAGAGCACUGUUUCGGCUAGGGGGUCAUCCCGACUUACCAACCCGAUGCAAACUACGAAUACCGAAGAAUGUUAUCACGGGAGACACACGGCGGGUGCUAACGUCCGUCGUGAA
rnacentral:rRNA from 1 species